rnacentral:rRNA from 1 species
AGGACGAACGCUGGCGGCGUGCUUAACACAUGCAAGUCGAGCGGAAAGGCCCUUCGGGGUACUCGAGCGGCGAACGGGUGAGUAACACGUGAGCAACCUGCCCUUAGCUCCGGGAUAGCUCCGGGAAACCGGAAUUAAUACCGGAUAUGACCUAGGCCGACAUCGGCUGUGGUGGAAAGUUUUUCGGCUGGGGAUGGACUCGCGGCCUAUCAGCUUGUUGGUGGGGUAAUGGCCUACCAAGGCGACGACGGGUAGCCGGCCUGAGAGGGCGACCGGCCACACUGGGACUGAGACACGGCCCAGACUCCUACGGGAGGCAGCAGUGGGGAAUCUUGCGCAAUGGGCGAAAGCCUGACGCAGCGACGCCGCGUGGGGGAUGAAGGCCUUCGGGUUGUAAACCCCUUUCAGCAGGGACGAAGCGAAAGUGACGGUACUGCAGAAGAAGCGCCGGCUAACUACGCGCCAGCAGCCGC